rnacentral:tRNA from 1 species
AGGAAAGUAAGCUAAGAUUAAGCUAUCAGGUUCAUACCCUGCCUAUGGGUGGUUAACCCCUCUCCUA